rnacentral:rRNA from 1 species
UACGAAGGGUGCAAGCGGUUACUCGGAAUUACUGGGCGUAAAGCGUGCGUAGGUGGUUUGUUAAGUCUGAUGUGAAAGCCCUGGGCUCAACCUGGGAAUUGCAUUGGAUACUGGCAGGCUAGAGUGCGGUAGAGGGUAGUGGAAUUCCCAGUGUAGCAGUGAAAUGCGUAGAGAUCGGGAAGGAACAUCCGUGGCGAAGGCGACUACCUGGACCAGCACUGACACUGAGGCACGAAAGCGUGGGGAGCAAACAGGG